rnacentral:rRNA from 1 species
CGGGGAUAGCCUUUCGAAAGAAAGAUUAAUACCCGAUGGCAUAGUUCUUCCGCAUGGUAGAACUAUUAAAGAGUUUCGGUCAUCGAUGGGGAUGCGUUCCAUUAGCUUGUUGGCGGGGUAACGGCCCACCAAGGCAUCGAUGGAUAGGGGUUCUGAGAGGAAGGUCCCCCACAUUGGAACUGAGACACGGUCCAAACUCCUACGGGAGGCAGCAGUGAGGAAUAUUGGUCAAUGGGCGCUAGCCUGAACCAGCCAAGUAGCGUGAAGGAUGACUGCCCUAUGGGUUGUAAACUUCUUUUAUAUGGGAAUAAAGUGCAGUAUGUAUACUGCUUUGCAUGUACCUUAUGAAUAAGGAUCGGCUAACUCCGUGCCAGCAGCCGCGGUAAUACGGAGGAUCCGAGCGUUAUCCGGAUUUAUUGGGUUUAAAGGGAGCGUAGGCGGGUUGUUAAGUCAGUUGUGAAAGUUUGCGGCUCAACCGUAAAAUUGCAAUUGAAACUGGCAUCCUUGAGUACAGUAGAGGUAGGCGGAAUUCGUGGUGUAGCGGUGAAAUGCUUAGAUAUCACGAAGAACUCCAAUUGCGAAGGCAGCCUGCUGGACUGUAACUGACGCUGAUGCUCGAAAGUGUGGGUAUCAAACAGGAUUAGAUACCCUGGUAGUCCACACAGUAAAC